rnacentral:misc_RNA from 1 species
AAGUCGUAACAAGGUUUCCGUAGGUGAACCUGCGGAAGGAUCAUUACAAAUAUAUGGUUAACGCCAACAUUUCAUGUGCAACUUAUUGACGCUGCCAGAAUUUCGAAAAGCUUUUGGAUUUUUCGAUGCCUGGCAGCAAACCCGACCGCUUGAAUCAAUAAUGUACUUUAGUGAUUUAAUGCAUGAUACAAGCGGUCAGCGGGCCUCUCGUUGUUGUUUUCGGAUAACAAUUGAUGUCCGUCUUUUACAACAUUAUAACAUCAGUCUUAUUUAUCCAUCAUCAGACAGUAGCAAUUCAGCGAAAUGUGAUGACAUAAAAGGGUUAAAAACUUUUAGCAACGGAUCUCUAGGCUCUC